rnacentral:rRNA from 1 species
GACGAACGCUGGCGGCAUGCCUAAUACAUGCAAGUCGAGCGAACAGAUGAAGUGCUUGCACUUCUGACGCUAGCGGCGAACGGGUGAGUAACACGUAAGGAAUCUACCUAUAAGCGGGGGAUAACAUUCGGAAACGGGUGCUAAUACCGCAUAAUAUCUUCUUCCGCAUGGAAGAAGAUUGAAAGACGGCUCUGCUGUCACUUAUAGAUGACCUUGCGGUGCAUUAGUUAGUUGGUGGGGUAAUGGCCUACCAAGACGAUGAUGCAUAGCCGACCUGAGAGGGGGAUCGGCCACAUUGGGACUGAGACACGGCCCAAACUCCUACGGGAGGCAGCCGUAGGGAAUCUUCCGCAAUGGGCGAAAGCCUGACGGAGCAAUGCCGCGUGAGUGAAGAAGGCCUUCGGGUCGUAAAACUCUGUUAUAAGAGAAGAACAAAUUGUAGAGUAACUGCUACAGUCUUGACGGUAUCUUAUCAGAAAGCCACGGCUAACUACGUGCCAGCCGCCGCAGUAA